AAGUUCAGUGGGGGGAAGAGAAAGGGGACUCUGAAAUACGAAGACAAAAAGACACAAAACAGACCUGAAAGGGCCCUGUCUUCUACACGGGAAGACUAUUGUCACAUCAAAGAAGCAACACGAAACGAAGGUCUUGACUGCCUGAACCACGACAAAAAAAUAAG